AUAGGUAAACGUGUGCCAUGGUGGUUUGCGGUAACUAUCAACCCAUCACUGAAGUACUAAGCCCAGCAUGCAUUAGGUAUAUCUCCUAAUGCU